rnacentral:rRNA from 1 species
GAUGAACGCUGGCGGCGUGCCUAAUACAUGCAAGUCGAGCGAACAGACGAGGAGCUUGCUCCUCUGACGUUAGCGGCGGACGGGUGAGUAACACGUGGAUAACCUACCUAUAAGACUGGGAUAACUUCGGGAAACCGGAGCUAAUACCGGAUAAUAUAUUGAACCGCAUGGUUCAAUAGUGAAAGACGGUUUUGCUGUCACUUAUAGAUGGAUCCGCGCCGCAUUAGCUAGUUGGUAAGGUAACGGCUUACCAAGGCAACGAUGCGUAGCCGACCUGAGAGGGUGAUCGGCCACACUGGAACUGGGACACGGUCCAGACUCCUACGGGAGGCAGCAGUAGGGAAUCUUCCGCAAUGGGCGAAAGCCUGACGGAGCAACGCCGCGUGAGUGAUGAAGGUCUUCGGAUCGUAAAACUCUGUUAUUAGGUAAGAACAAAUGUGUAAGUAACUAUGCACGUCUUGACGGUACCUAAUCAGAAAGCCACGGCUAACUACGUG